CAUGGCUAAUGCCGGUCAAGCACUGAUGGUGAGGAAGUAGAAUCUAUCACGAAGCUGAAGGGAGAUGGAGGUCUGCAGGGCUCAGGGACUCCCCUCCAUGGUAGGCAGCUGAGGGGUACCACUCUCUUCGUGGUUAGAGGCUGAACCAGGAUAGGCCUGGGCUCCUAUGCCUUUCAGCAACCGGGGGUGGUGGUGGUUAGGAAACAGCUAGGGCAGUGGGGUGGGAAGAGUGUCUCUUUCAUGGGUAAUAUGGUGGCGGGCUUCCCCUACCCUAUAGCUGGAAGCUGGGGCCAUGACAACUGUGCCCCCCAUGGUCAUCUUCCAUGCCUCCUUUCCUGUGCUCUUAGCUCGACUCUGAGUCCAGAGAAUGUCUUACAGAACCAUAGACUUAGUGACCCACAUCAGGGAAUUAAUGCUCGCUAAUACAGGCCCUGCUGGACGCUAGCCCAACCACACCCGUUACAGAAAAGGUAACUUUGAGGUCACUCACAGCAUCCUUUGGGGCCCUCCAGUCCCUGUCUGGUGCUCACUCACAAUGAGCUUCUGCCCAGACACACUUGUCAGGAACCCCACAGGGAAACAACUGACUCGAGGCACAUGCUCUACCGCCUGUCCCUCUUCUGCUGACUUCUGGUGGCUUUGACUAUUAGGUGAAGGUGGCCCAUCAGAUGCCACCCCUCCUCCUAUAUCAUGAAAAAGUACCGUCUGGGGAUGGAUUCUGAGACUAUAUAGGGUGCUGCUCCUCCAACUUUUCAGGAGCAGUUCUUGACAAACAGUUUCUCGCUUCACUCAGGCAGGUAGCUGAAGAUGACCUUGAAGUUCUAGUGCUCCCGCCUCCACCUCCCCGGUGCUGGGAUGACAGACAUGUGUCCCCAUGCCUGGCUUAUGUGGUGUCAUGUACACAGGCCUCCAGCUCCAACACCCUCAUGGUACCACACACUAACAGCCCAGUCACUGCGCUGAUGGUUGGUGACUAGUGCUUUUCCUAAGCCCACCACUCCUUCCACACCCGGUGACUGCUUCCCACAAUGGUCUAAUGAUUCACUAUUGGCAGCAGUAUGGACUUCGUGGAUUCUACUGUACCUGCCAGAUCAUAAUCAGUUUCUAUUAUUUCUUUUUGCCCCAUGCUGGGAGUGAGCCUACCAGGCAAUCGUUCCAGCACGGAGCCACAUCCUCAAACCUGGGUGUACCAGCAAAGCACUCAACUACUGAGCGGCAUCCUGGGCUUUGCUGGGCCUUUACUCAAACACUCGAAUUGUCUGCAUGGUUCAGGAGAAGCCCCAUCAUGUGGGUUCUCAGGACUUCCUACCAUACCUCAUUAUCUUUGGGAACUCCCAACUCCGGCUUCUUGCCCUAUGCGAACCAUUCUUUUCUCCAAGAAAGCUCGACCCCUGUUAGUGCUCCUUGAGAAGAAGAGCAAAGGUACGGAGUCCCUAUAAAAGCACCAGCUGUGUCAGUGUGGUGGUGCACAUCUGUAACCCCAGCACCCAGGAGGCCGAGGCAGGAGCAUCUCUGUGAGUUUGAAGCCAGCCAGAGUUAUAUCCUGACUACCUGGCCCCAAAACAAAACAAACAAAGCGAAAAUACUUAAAGGACAGACAACCUCAGCGGUAAAAGGUCUUGUACAUUCUAAAGUGCUGUCAGAGCUCAGCGCUCUUGCUACAGGGCCUGGAAAUGCUGAGUGAUCACUCCAUAGACAGCCCACCACUGUCCCCUCAGAGACACUCCUCACAAGGCACACUUGUCAGGGUUCAGCCUUGAUGCAGGAUCAGAGUUCCCAACUGGAAGCAGGGAUAUCUGGAAGACACAUAAUAAAUAUACAGAAACUCCUUUUUGGGUACAAGCUGACAGGAAAAUUUUCCUUUCUCUCUUUCUUUCUUUUCUUUCUUUUUCUUUUUUCUUUUCUUUUUUUUCUGAGACAGGGUUUCUCUGUGUAGCCCUGGUUGUCCUGGAACUCACUGUAGACCAGGCUGGCCUUGAACUCAGAAAUACGCCUGCCUCUGCCUCCCAAGUGCUGGGAUUAAAGGCGUGCGCCAACAUUGCCUGUCCCAACAGGCAAUUUUUCAAGGCUUAAAGUUUCUCUCUCUUCUCUCUUCUCUCUUCUCUCUCUCUCUCUCUGUCUCUCUCAGCUUGAGGCUGCACACACUCUGCAUUCUCCUGCGCACUCUGCUUUUCUUGAACUCCCACACUCAUACACACCUCUGUGUGUUCCCCUUUCACUCUCACACAUACUCAUCUCACACAUCUCACACGCACAUCACAUGCACUCUCCUUUCACUCACACGUACACACUCCAUAUGCACCUCACAUGCUCUCCCCACUCACUCCUCACAUGCUCUUCUCAUGCUCUCUCCCCCCUCACUCGCCCUCCACAUUCACCUCACUCGCUCUCUCAUUCUCUCGUCUCAUGCUCUCUAGCCUUUCUCUUGGUCCAGUCUUUUAUUGAUAUCCCAAAAGCAGGUUAAAAAAAAAGACAUUGCAUAAUCACUGUCAAAUCAAAUUCAAAAGAAUAACCACGUCCUACAAAGAAUCAAGAAUUGCAAUUGUUCUCCAAAGUUUCAAGCUUCCCUAUUCCCAGGCCUGUAGCCAAAGUAAUAAUAACUGCAAACUUAUCAUUAUUUAAACUUUAACUUUGACUUAUUAUACGUCAGAGCUCAGAGCUCCGCUACUUAUAUUUUCUUGUGAAGCUCUAAUGAUAAAUGACACGGGCAAAGCUGCCAGGCAGUGGCCAGAAAGAAUCAAGUUAACCCUUAACUCAGUAGUUCCACUAGCUUUCUGCUUCUGCACAUUGCACACAAUAACUCUCUGAAAAGUCCCAGUGUUUUGACUUAGUUUUACUAAUAUAUGAUUUUACAUAGUCUAUACUUGCUUAUCCAGGAACCACUCUCAAAUGUUGUACAAAACUUAUUUCAUAACUUCAAUCGUUUAUUUCUUUCUUGGGGUCCCAAUGUUGGCUCUAUUCAUUUUCUAAUAAUUUCUUCAAACUUUCUUUGCAAGUCAAACACUAAUCUGGAACUGCCAUUGUGCAGUUAUUACAUUGUCUCCAAGAUGAGAACCUACAGCAUGCACCUGGGCCAUUAGGACUGUGCUGUGCUGUGCCCCUUGGUGCUGUGCUGUGCCCCGUGCCUCAAUUUUUAAUUCUUUAAGAAUCAGGGAACAUCUAGUUUCACAGAAUUCAUCAGAGCAGAAGGAGAAAGAAAUAAGAAAGUCAGAUAAAAUAGAAAAAUUAUGCACACCAAGGCCAACUGAAAAGCAGCCACGCACACAUGAAAUCUAUACGGCUGUUGUACAGGGCUAAGGUUUAGAGAAAUGGGAACAACUGUCACAAGCUACUGAGAUGUCUCCAUCCCAGCCUACUGCAGGCAGUCCCUGUCAUUCAUUGUAUGCUGUCCCCAGCACAUACUGACAGAAGUUAAAGAAUGGACUCAGUUUUUUGAAUUCUUGCAGGCCAUUUACACAAGCCCCCACCACUAGGGAGCACGUCCUAUUUAAUUCUUUUAAAAGAUUUAUUAAUUUUUAUUUAAUGUGUACAAGUGCCUGCCUAUCUAUCUAUCUAUCUAUCUAUCUAUCUAUCUAUCUAUGUAUGUAUGUAUGUAUGUAUGUAUGUAUAUGUAUGUAUGUAUGUAUGUGCACCAAGUGUAGACAGUGUCCUCAGAGGCCAGAAGAAGGGGUCAUAUCCCGUGGCACUGGAGUUACAGACCAGUGAGCUGCCAUGUGGGUGGUGGGAACUGAGUCCUCUGGAAGAGCAGCCAGUGCUCUUGACCCCUGAGCCAUUUCUGUAGUUCUCUGCUUUAAUACUUUACACUGAUACCCCAUGCCCAUAUUAUUGGAGUUUCUCUUGUUUCAGCAUUAGGGGAAGCCUAGCUUUUCAACAUCCCUAAAAAAGAAAGAAAAAAAGAUAGAUAGAAGGAAAGAAAGGAAGGAAGAAAAGAAAACCCAAGAUGCCUCAGCAACUAAAAGAGGGCCUUCGUUACAUAACUCUAAUUUUAACACAUCCCAACCAUCAAUUAUCUUUUCUCUCCGUGUCUUCCCUUCCCACACGGAUUUGCUCCCAACCCACUCCAUCCUGCUUCUAUCUGCCAAAUCUUACAAGCAUUGAAUUAAAGAAUUACAAAAAAAUUAGAUAUCAGGAAAUAAAAAAUUUGGAAAAGAGCUAAAUAUGUAUUUGUGGGGCUGGGGCAGGUAGGAUUUCUCCUUUGCCUUCUGACAGACUGUUCCUCGGGAAUAAGAUAUAUUUAAUUUUAUAAGACGCGAGGAGCACACUGGUUUCUACAGUAGGAAUGCUAACUGGUUAGGAAAUGCGACUGGCUGGUAGCUUCAGGAAGAUAGCGGUGUGUUCAGCUUGAGCCACCUGCAGGAGACUAAGAGCCCUGUCUUGGCUACAGAGCCAUCUGUCUGCCAGCAAGUCAUCUCUCCUCUUGAUGGCUUGAUCCAUUUUCAGUCCUUCUUGCUAGCUACUGAAGCCUGGCACAGAGGAGACACUUGCUAAACCAGAGAUGACGGCACACAGAGCUUCUCCAGCCGACAGGAGGCUGUACUGGGCUGUAAGGUGAUAUCUGCACGCAGAGAAUGAGUCUAUGGGCGUUCUCAGCUGAGGAAAUCAAAGUCCAAAGGUGUGAUGUAAUUCUAGACAGCAGAGGAACUCAUCGAAGAGAGCAGUGUUUGUACACCUAAAACGGUUGUUCUCCACGGGUAGUGGCCUGUUGGUGUACUGUCAUCUGAGUGAUACAGAUCUAUCUUUUUGUGUUUGUCCUUGACUGCAGUGUGGUCUAGGGAUGACACCGGGGAGGGAACCCGGUCAGGGGACUCCGCUCUUUGGCAGAACACUCUGCAGAGACCACAGCAUUUGCUGUGCCAUGCUCCUGUGGUCCCUCUAAGUCUGAUGUGACUGCAGCAGCCUAGACGCUGAUCCGAAGGAGCCUGUUCCCUGACCUGCACCCACGGUGUCUCUACCUUCCUUCACUGCCUCUCUGCUCGGCUGGGACCCAGGCAUCUUAAACUGCUGAAUAUUCUGGAACCAGCGUAGUCCGAAGGUGAAGCUCCAAGGAGGAGAUGGGAGUGCUCAGCUGGGUGUUAAAUACCACGGCAGAUACUUUAUUAGAAGAAUAAGGUUGGUGGCUGGAGAGAUGGCUCAGUGGUUAAGAACACUGACUACUCUUCCAAAGGUUCAAUUCCCAGAAACCACACAGUAGCUCACAAACCAUCUGUCAUGGGAUGUCUCUGCUCUUAGGAGGUGCACAGUCUGGAAGCAUCAGACAGGGCAACGCACAGGUACCAAGUACACUGUAGUGUGACAGUAACCGAGCUGUUGCAUGAGGUCAGGGAGCCACUGGGGCUAUGGAUUCCUGGCUGGCAGGCCAUGAGAGCCUGAAUUUAAAGGAGGCAUAAGAACAGGGGUAAGGAAAAGACAGGUGGGAAACUCUCUCCCUUCUUUCCUCUCUCCCUUAGUCAUGUGCCAUCACAUGUGCCAAGACUUUUGAUGUAUUUGGACACUAUCCCCCAUGUGUUGAAUUGGCAUGGGUGGAAAGCUUUAUACAACAGUUUGAGGAUAUAGGGUCUUUUUUUUUUAUUUGAUUUAUCUAUGCAUUUUAUAUGAGUGCCCUAUUUGCAUGUAUGCCUGCAUGACAGGAGAGGGCAUCAGAUCUCAUUAUUGAUAGUUGUGAGCCACCAUGAGGUUGUUGGGAAUCGAACUCAGGACCUCUGAAAGAGCAGGUAGUGCUCUUAGCCACUGAGUCAUCUCUCCAGUAUCCCCUUCCUUUUUUGGGGCUGGGGGAGAGGGGAGGUUGAGAUAAGGUUUCUCUGUGUAUCCCUGGCUGUCCUGGAACUCACUCUCUAGACAAGUCUGGCCUCGAACUCAGAGAUCUCCCUGCCUCUGCCUCCCAAAUGCUGGGAUUAAAGGCAUGCGCUACCACUGCCCGGUGAGGACACAGUUUUAAAGAUCUACUCCUCCAAGGAAGGGAACCAAAGCUCAGAAGACUGAGAAUUUUAUGUACACACACUUCAGCCCUUGAGAACAGAUUUACAUUCCUUUAAGACUAGGAUCAACGUGGCCGUGAGUCUUUGGAAAAUCAAGGAAAAUGACAUUCAGGCACUGGGGACACCCCAGCCUUAGAUUCCCAUAUGGGAGGUAGCCAGAUCGGUGAGUCUCAGGGUUAGUUAAGAGACUGUCUGGUCCGAGCCUGACCUCUGCCUGGCUAUGGAAAGUUAGAUCAGAGCACCACAGAAUGCACACCCGAGCUCCUUCCAGGACCAGGUUCUAUGCUGAGCUCCGGGUCAGUAGGCUGAACAGGACAGCCAGUCCUACGUGCAUACAGCUUGAGAUCUGUGAGUGCUGAGCGCACACACGGAACAGUGGUUUUCAGACUUCUAUUUUAGCUGCAGACAUAUCCCUCCACUUUUUCUUAGAGGCAAUAUCUAACUAGACGUGAUCUAGACAACACAAAAGUGAAUCUAGGCUGUGAAAUCUCCAGAGAGAAUAACUGGGCUUUAAGGCUAACUCCAAUAGCAAGGGGGGAGGCCAGCAAACCACAGUGGCUCUCUCACCUCUCAGGGAAGGACAAGGCCAAUGCAAGGACAGCACAUGGAAGCCGGCAGGUUCUUUUUGAGCCUCUGCUGCCUUCCUUGAAAUGCAAGUAUUAGAGCUAUCUAGCUGACGUUGUGAGACUAAUCUCUCAGUCUGGGAGACCAACCAUCCAUCCGGACAGAGCUGUCUUUCAGCUUUCAGGUGACACUGAAUAACUGGCAGUGGGUGGGGGAGGUGGAGGUGAAGGCUUUAGCAGCUGAAGUUCAAGGUCAUCCUCAGCUACAGAGCCUAGCCUAGCCCGAGACCGACCGCAAUGGGAUACAUGAGAUCCUGCCUCUCAGCUUUCUCCCAAAAAUAGGUUCUCCUGUACAUAGCAGGAGGAAACUAUUGAGAUAGAUGUGAAAUGUGUCUCAAAUACAUUUAAUACAAUCCCAAGAGUGUUUAUAAAAUUAUAAACAUCAAGCAAGCCAUGAGAUAUAUCAAAGCAUGAAAAGAGGUGUCUAGAAGUGGGGGGCUGUUAAAGAAACUCCUCCUUCGCAUUAUCUAACUGCCCCACAGAGAUCCCAGAUACUCUGAGAUUCCAUUAGAAACACUGCCCCUAGUGAGCAUGCUCCAAUCAACAGAUCAGGAGAAGGAAGGAGACAGGAAAUGAAAGGCAGGCUGGCUUUCUGCUCCAGGCAUUGAGAGUGAAGCAGUAGGCAGGAGGCCAUCUGCCUGAGCACUGCCUUUCUCUCAGCCUGGGUACCAGGGCUGCAAAGGGCACAUGCGCCUGAGGCCUGAUUAGAGUAUGGCUUUGCCUAGAUUUCCCCCUAAGCUAUGAGAUCAGAUUAGUACAGAGCUCCAACCAUUAGAGUGUUUUCGGGUAAAACCUGUCACAAAAACACACUUAGAACAAACAGAAAAGUCAUUGGCCCCAAUUGAUUAAAUCCUCUGAUUAAUUCAAAUGGAGUCUGGAUUUGUACGCUGGAAAUUUAUACACAUUUGUUUAUUCAGUUUUGCUUCUUAACAAAAUUAAUAGCUGCCUCAAAGGAGCGAAGAGUCUGGAUAAAGCUCCCCCAGCCCAGGAUGCUGCAACCUGCCAGCUCUUUCCGCUGUCAGCCUACCUUCCAGAGCAUUCCUGACUCUGAGACUCUAAUGAUGAGCUGGGUCCUCCUUCCUCCCAUUGUCUUGACACCAUCCUAAAACUCCGUCCUUCCUACGGCGCAUGCGGAGAUGGGUCUUAAAGAGAAACAUCUCCACAUCUCUGAGCCCUCUGGAGAGAACUGUACAUCUUUACAGACAUUCUGUGCUGACUAGACCAUGGUGAGCACACUGGCUAACGCUUGGCCUUUAUCCAUUUUGCUCUUUUAAUAAGAAAAAUCUCUGCUCUCUAGAACACGGUGAAACAUGGAGAAGGGUGACCUGUACUAGAAACGUCCCUUGCUCUCCUCCAGCCGCGCAGGCAAGGCCAGCCCGAGUGCUACCCUCUGUCCUCUCAGAAUAAGGGAGGAAGAGUGUUGUUUGCACCUGGAGGUUGAGGCUGGAGAUGGUGACUCUUCCUGAUCUAAGGCCUGUUGACAGGUAAACCCAUGGCUUCUGAUGAAGCUCACAUCCUUAGAAACUGAAGAUGUCACCUUCUGUCGCAAAGAGGCCCUUGCGGAUUGGAGGAUGUUAAAGAUAUUGAGAUGGGACCAUGAGCUGGGUGAACCCAAUGUAACCCUGAGGGUUUUAUAGGAGUCAACAGAGUGAGUCAGAGAGGGUGACAUCAGAAGCAGUGGUUGGAAUACAGAGGGCGGUGAGCCAGGGUUCUCAACAUGUGGGCUGUGACCUCUUAUAGUGUGAUAGUUUCUAUAUGCUUGGCUCAGGGAGUGGCACUGUUUGGAGUAGGUGUGGCCUUGUUGGAGUAGGUGUGUCACUGUGGGCUUGGACUUUAAGACCCUACUCCUAGCUGCCUGGAAGCCAGUAUUCUGCUAGUGGCCUUCAGAUAAAGAUGUAGAACUCUCAGCUCCUCCUGCACCAUGCCUGCCUGGCAUGGAUGCUGUGUUCCUGUCUUGAUGAUAAUGAACUGAACCUCUAAACCUGCAAGCCACCCCCAAUUAAAUGUCCUUAUAACAGCUGCCUUGGUCAUGGUGUCUGUUCACAGCAGUAAAACCCUCAUUAAGACAAGUAGCAAAAUUACAGUUAUGAAAUAGCAGUGAAAUAGUUUUGUGGUGGGGGUCACCACAACAUGAGGAGCUGUGUUAAGGGGUGAAAGCAUUAGGAUGGUUGAGCACCACUGUUCUAGAUACUGAGAACAUAGACUGGAAGCUGAGGACCAUAGCAUCCUCAGACUGCGGGUGUAGGGGGUGUAGGGAAUGGCUCACCCAGUCACGCAGUCAGAGGUUACACUUCUGACUGCCUGAACGAACAGUCCUCAGACCGUGGAAGUCUGUGUAGCAUGGAGUGAAAAGGAAGCCAACACAAGCUGUAGCUGUGUGAUUGUAACAUGAAGGAAGGCUACCCUCCCUACAGUGGAUUAUCUGCCGAUGGGGGUGGGAGGCUCUAGGGAGGAGAAGAAAGUCUGCAGGAGACUGGGGAGACAGGAACUCGUGGCUGUGCACCUGAGGUAGGCUGACUCCCUGUCAUGUAAGCCACAUGAGCUACUUCAGGCUUGUCAUGCUGGCCAAGGAUCUGACUGGGAAAUGAAGUCUACAGAGUAAGACCCUGGUCUGAGUGUUAAAGUUCCGGGACUGAGGACAGGGUUUGGAUCAGGAAUUGAUCGAUCGAUCGAUCCCUUCCGGUUUCCUAUCUCCAACUGUCGCACUGACUUACAAAUAUUUAUGUCUAUAUCUGCUUGUUUUUAAACAGGGGCUGGCUUCAAACUCAUUAUGUCGUGGAGGAUAACCUUGGCCUUCUGACGCCUUGACCUCCCAAGUGCUGGAGUCGUAAGAGGCCUGCAUUACCACGCCUGGCUUAUGUGGUGCAGAGAAUGGAACCCAGACCUUUACAUAGCUGUCUGUCUCGUUUUUCAAGUGGGCCCUAGGGUCCUUAGGCUUUGGCUAAAAACUUGUUGAGCCAUCUCACUGGCCCACCUGCAAAGUUUUAAAAGAAAUUGGAGUUAGUUUUUUAUAGGGUCGAUCAGCCUUCUGUGUUCUGUGAAAAUGCACAUACACAAAUAAAAAAAAAGUAAUUUAGAAAACUAAAAAAACCAAACACGUCGGUGGUUCAGGUCACUCGGGCUUCAGGAAAUCUCAAGGCCUAGGGCUGAGGGGAUGGCACAUGAGUCAGGAUCUGGGUGUUAACACAGCUGGCUUCAGUGGCUCGUGCUUGUCAGUCCAAUCUAGGGAGGCAGAGACAAGGGGAUCCCUCAAACUCAUUGGCCAACCUGCCCUACCUACUUGGUUCAGGAAAAAUGAGAGACCUAUUUUAAAAAAAAACAAGGUGAACAGAAUUCUGAAGAAUGAAACCGCAGUGCAAAGCUGGGUAGGGGAGUGGUGCUCUAGUGAGGCAAAGCUGAGGCAGGGGAAUAUUUUUGCUGUACUGAGGGGAAGCUGAGGCCGUGUCUGGGGAGGCAUAGAAGAAGAUGGGGUUACAAUGGGAGGCUGUUGGAGCUUGGUGGGACACAGUGAAGUCUUGGGUGUUGUGUGUGCGUGUAUGUGUGAAUGCCUCUGUGUGGAUGUCUGUGUGUACAUGUGUGUGCACAUGUGUAUAUGUGUAUGUGUGCCUGUGUGUGUGCAUGUGUGUGCACAUGUGUAUAUGUGUAUGUGUGCCUCUGUGUAUGUGCAUGUGUAUGUGUGUGUGUGCCUGUGUGUGUCUGUCUGUCUGUCUGUCUGUUUUCAGAGACAGGCUGAGGCGGAGAGAUGGAGGAAAAAUUUAAAGAUGAAGUGGGUGAAUCCUGAGGGGCGGGAAGAAGCUGACCUUACAGGAAGGAGCAGGUGUACAGGGGCCAGGGGUUGGAUCUAUGAACUCAGCCCUAUAAACAGGUCUCUUACUCCCCCCUCCCCACUUCCCGUUCUCCCUCUUGCUCCAGCCCUGCUCCCUCUGGCCUCCGCUUGCUCCCAGCCCAUAGGUUCUUUAUUUGUUUCUCAUUAUGGAUGGUUGUGAGCCACCAUGUGGUUGCUGGAAUUUGAACUCAGGACCUCUGGAAGGGCAGUCAGUGCUCUUAACCACUGAGCCAUCUCACCAGCCCCCCAGGUCUCUUACUUUUUUCUUCCAUUUUCUGCGGAGGAAGAAGUAAAAGGUGGGCAGGACAGAGACCUCUACAGAUCGCCAAACAUCUUACAAUUGCCAGGGUAGAGAGCUGACUAAGGACACUGCAGGGGUGACUUAGCCACUGACCACAGAGACCUCUUGCUGCCCUCUCUUCAACAGCCCCUAGAGUUCAACAGGAGGAGGUAGGAGGGUGCAUACACUCAUGGCUGGGGAGGAGGGAGGAGGGACAGAGUCAGGAUCCCUCUGCAAGACUUUUGGAAGCUGAUCAAAAUGUCUGCUGAAGUCAGGGAUGGGACAGAAUACAAGGCAGGACUUCCAGGUACAGGAGAGAGCCAGGGUUCCUAAGAGCCUGGGAAAGACUAAAGUCAGAGUGGGAUUCUAGGAGAUGGAGACGGGAGAAGGCAAGACAAGAGUCUCCCUGUGUGGGCUGCAGAACUGUGCUACAGUGGGGGGCUCAUGUCACAAGGACCAUCUAUGUAGGACUUCAAAAAGACUGCUCAAGCCACAGGGCUGAGCUGUCAAAUGGAGAAGUCCAAGGCUGGGAUACCAAGCCUGAGGCAACGCCAUCAUCUAUCUGUAGAAUACAAGGCUCUGAGAAGGCAGACCCUGUGUCACGCCUCUGAUAACUACUCCUUACUUCUCCUCAACUUUGGGGUGGCAAUGUGCUCAGCCUGGGUCCCCCCUUUUCCAGACUUCCUGGCAGGGGCCACAUGACCUAUGAAGUACAAAUAGAAAUGUUGGGAAGAGAGGAAUUCUGGGAAUUUUUUUGCUGUCUCCCUAAGUAGGAAAAGAGCCCGGUGUUUACACUCUCCCUUCUUCCUGCUUCUUGGGGUCACUGGGUAAAUAAAUGACAACAAUCUAGCUGCACCAGACCUUAUCUUGUUACAAACAAAACAAAAUAAAACAAAACCCCAACAAUUUAACUACUUACACCUGAACACAAUUCUAAGCCACACAGGCGCUUGCAGCCCCUUCCCAACUUAAGCCCCUUGGGGGAGACACAACCAGGGUUCUGUACUUCCAGCAAGUUUCGAAGAAAUCAAACACUAAAGGUCUCACGCUGAACCCCAGUUCCCUUCUCCAAAUGGAAUUUAAAAGGCUGAGGCCUAUUAGGAAGGCGGGGAGGAGGUGUGCCGUGGGUGGAGGAACUGCACAUAAGUAUGUAAGGGUUGGGAGCUGGCAGGGUGAGGGUGAGUCGGUAAGACCACUGCCCAAGCAGGGUCCCACUCCGAGCUCUGAGAAAGGGGUCGCUCCUCUGGCCGAGAGUCCCUGGAAUGCCAGCCUGCUGGCAAGUUUAUUUGCACCGCGUUAGUCCUUUUAUGUCAGCCGCAGCAUCCAUCAAACGCUUCUAAAAGGGCCUACCGCAAACUGAGCCGGCGGACGCAGAAAGCAUGUCUGCUUCCUUCUGCCACUCAGCUCCCUGCCCCCAAGGACAGUGGAGAGAUGGGAAUGUGAGCUUCUAAAUCCACGCAAAGGAAGGACCUGAAAGGGGCAGAGAAGCGGUCCCUCCUCGCCGGCACCUGCAGCCUGCGCCUCUCCACCCGCCCUCUGGGAGGGGCUCGGCAUCCUCCCACCCCGGACGCUGGAACCGGUCCUUCGCGGGUCCGCCAGCCCCUCGGAGAGUUUGGUUCACUCCAGCCGGGAGCUUCCCUUCCACCCCCUGCUCGCACUCACGCUCCACGUCAUGCAGCUUUGCCCGCUCCUCCUCUAGCUUGCCCUUGAGGCUCUCGGCCUCGCUCUUCAGCGACGCCAGCGUCUCGUUCUCGUGCAGCCCAUCGGUUGCCAUCUUCGUCCGGAUGCAGCCGGGAGAGAAACGCAAAGCGGGAGACUGUGAGUCGAUGCGGGGGCCCGACGGGAGGGCGGGAGCAGCAGCAGCCUCCGUGACCCCAACGCCGCCCGGGGCCCGCCCCCUCGGCAGUGACGCGACCGCAGCGGUGACGGACUCUGCUGGCUCCGCCUACCGCGCCCUCCCUGAGAACCGGCGAUGCUCGGAGGUUUCAGAUAGCCCAGCCCAGGCCUCAAAUUUGUGAAGCACCGGAGAGUAUCCUGGAACAUCUCGAUCCUCCUUCCUCCAACUUCGGAGUGCUGAGGUUAAAGGCAUGCACCACCAUGCCUGGCUUAUGCAGUGCUAAGAAUGGAACGCAGGACUUUGUGCAUGCUAGGCAAGCACUCUACCUACCCAGCUCCCUCCAGCCUGGAGAGCCAUUAUAAAACUUUCACAAAUGUUCCUCCCUUUGGUGUAAAAUUUUAGAUUAAAGACAAGAGUUAGAAAAAUGGGCCUGAGUCCAGCCAGAGGGGAAAGGCCAUUUGUGUGGCAUUGGCUUCCUACAAAGUACACAUUUGUAUCUGUUAAACCCACCAGCCGAACACCCAGGGCCCCAGCCUGUAGUUGUGUGCGCAGAAUGGUUUAGGCCUGGGAGGAUAGCAGUGUUGGGAAACAGCUUCACUGGGGGCUAUAGACCUGGCUCCUGGUCGCCCAGGUCUUGGCCCGUUGGUGAGGUCAGUAGACGUGACUCCCCUGAAGCUUUGUUUGCUAAUCUAUCAAAUAAAUAUCUUUAAACCGUG